rnacentral:rRNA from 1 species
UACAGUCCUAAAAUAUGCCGGAUAAUAAAAUCAAUAGAUUAAAAUCCAAAAAAUAUGGCGGUGUUUUUAUAUAAUCAGGGGAACCUGUUUCUUAAUUCGAUAGUCCACGAAAAUUCAACCUACUAUGAAUAUCAGCCUGUGUACUGCUGUCGUCAGUAGACCUAUAAAAGAAAGUUUACAAUUAAUUUCUCAAUUUUACGUCAAGUCAAAGUGCAGCUAAUAAGUAGGAGACAAUGGGUUACAAUCUCUAUAAAGAAUACGAAAUAAUAAAAUAAAAAUAUUAUAAAGGUGGACUUGAUAGUAAUAUUAAUAAAGUAAAAAUAUAAAAAUUUCUAAAACAUGUACACAUCGCCCGUCACUCUCAUCAAAAGACA